rnacentral:rRNA from 1 species
GAGACAGGUGCUGCAUGGCUGUCGUCAGCUCGUGUUGUGAAAUGUUGGGUUAAGUCCCGCAACGAGCGCAACCCUUAUCCUUUGUUGCCAGCGAUUCGGUCGGGAACUCAAAGGAGACUGCCGGUGAUAAACCGGAGGAAGGUGGGGAUGACGUCAAGUCAUCAUGGCCCUUACGAGUAGGGCUACACACGUGCUACAAUGGCGCAUACAAAGAGAAGCGACCUCGCGAGAGCAAGCGGACCUCACAAAGUGCGUCGUAGUCCGGAUCGGAGUCUGCAACUCGACUCCGUGAAGUCGGAAUCGCUAGUAAUCGUGGAUCAGAAUGCCACGGUGAAUACGUUCCCGGGCCUUGUACACACCGCCCGUCACACCAUGGGAGUGGGUGCAAAAGAAGUAGGUAGCUUAACCUUCGGGAGGGCGCUUAC